GACGAACGCUGGCGGCGUGCCUAAUACAUGCAAGUCGAACGCAGUGGGGACGGGUGAGUAACACGUGGGUAACCUCCCAUCAGAUGGGAUAACACUUGGAAACAGGGGCUAAAGCGAUACUGAUGUAUGAACCCGCGGUGCAUUAGCUAGUUGGUGAGGUAACGGCUGACCAAGGCCACGAUGCAUAGCCGGCCUGAGGGGGUGAGCCGCCAAACUGGGACUGAGAAACGGCCCAGCCGCCUACGGGAGGCAGCAUUAGGGAAUCUUCGGCAAUGGACGAAAGUCUGACCGAGCAACGCCGGGUGAGUGAAGAAGGUUUUCGGAUCGGAAACCUCUGUUGUUAGAGAAGCGGUAUCUAACCAGAAAGCCACGGCUAACUACGUGCCAGCAGCCGCGGUAAUAC
rnacentral:rRNA from 1 species